UCGGCGACUUCAAGGCUGGGGAGUCCCAGAUUCUGGUGGCAACGGACAUAGCGGCGAGAGGACUUGAUAUUGAGCAGCUGCCUCAGGUUGUGAACUUCAACCUUCCAAACGUCGCGGAGGACUACGUGCACCGGAUUGGACGAACUGGGAGAGCUGGGAUGACGGGGGAGG
rnacentral:ribozyme from 1 species